rnacentral:rRNA from 1 species
UACGUAGGGUGCAAGCGUUGUCCGGAUUCAUUGGGUUUAAAGGGUGCGCAGGCGGGACAUUAAGUCAGGGGUGAAAUCCUGGAGCUCAACUCCAGAACUGCCUUCGAUACUGGCGAUCUUGAGUCCGGAAGAGGUGAGUGGAACUCCUAGUGUAGAGGUGAAAUUCGUAGAUAUUCGGAAGAACACCAGUGGCGAAGGCGACAUACUGGCUCAUUACUGACGCUGAGGCUCGAAAGCGUGGGGAGCAAACAGG